AAACCAUGUCUUGAAAAACCAAAAGAAAGAAAAAGAAAAGAAAGUGUCCCCGGAGCCGAGGUGGACUGCUGGGAAGGGUCCUGCAGUCUGGGUUCGCCUGCAUUGGCUGUAAGAAGCAUCAUUCUUUCAUGUGAAUGAAACAAAGCCACACUGAAGACAGAAUGAAUGCAUGAGGAGGCGACAAGACCACUCCCUCCUCAGCACACCUCAGCUUUGACAAUGUAAACAUCAGGUAUCUGGAAGACUAUUCAAAAGGUACUAAUGCUGUGUCAACAACUCUCCGUGGGCAAGUGGAACUGUGCCAGAUUCCAGUCUCAGAUCUAAGGAAAAUGGCAAAUUCUCCUCCAUGUCUCUUUUGGAGUAUGAGUUUUGCCACUCACCCACCAUCCUGAUUGGAGGCUCAAAUGGUUCCACGAAGAGAAUACAUGCAGCUAUACCAUGGAUGGUCCUUGUAGGAGUCUCAACUGUGAGCCAGCAUCGCAUGCAGACAUGCAAGGGAAUGAGCCUCCCAGUGACUCCAGCCCUCACCCAUGGCAUCACAACUCUCCCCCAGGCUAAGCUAUCUGAAGCCACGGGAAACAGAGACUAAAUGCCUUUUGCAUAUCUGCUCAAAUUAUGUUUGGAGUUUUUAAUUGUCAUUACUGAUGAGAUCCUUACUUUCCAGACAACCAAGGAGAUCCCAUUUUGCUUUUCCAUUGUUUGUUUUCACAACAGGGUCUCA